GUCCACGAAAAUUUCUAGAUGUAGGUAAGGUGCUGAAGAAUUGAUGGUGAAAAUCUCCCUAGUAGUAUUUUUGCUGUGUUGUGCUCGGUUUUUUGUUUUCUAACAUGAAGAUUCUGAACUUGGAAACAGAAAUCUCUCUGGAUAGCCGAUUCUCUCUCGCGUCUCUUUGGGGUUUCCCAUGGUCAAAAUCGUCCACGAAAAUUUCUAGGUGUAGGUAAGGUCCUGAAGAAUUGAUGGUGAAAAUCUCCCUAGUCUUUUUGUGCUUGUACUGAGCCCAGUUUUCUUCGUUUCUGACUUGAAGAUUCUAAUGUCGAAAAACAGAAAGGUGGUGAUGGUUGUGGUUAUUUCGAAGGGUUUUUGGAGGAGGUUUAAGGAGGGUUUUUGGAGGGUGUUUGGAGAGUAUUUUGAGGUUGUUUGGAAGGUAUUUGGAGGUUGUUUUAGUUGUUCUUGAAGGUUGAAGUUGCAAAAGUUGUUCUUGAAGAUUGAAGUUGCAAGAGUUGUUCUUGAAGAGGGAGGUGGUAUUCUUGGUUGGGAGAGUUUUUUUGUGUAUGGAGAUGUAGCUGGAGGUAUUACAAAAAAAAGAACACACACUUUCAAACCAUAUACAUGCACACGUAUAUAUGGUGAAGCAAAAGAAAAAUAUCUAAGGUACUUUAACUUUGAGUUGGUUAGAAGAUGUAGUUGUGAUAUCCAAGUGCUAGUAGGUGUAGGAAGCGCAAGUGGUACUAGGAGUAGGAUACGUGAGUUUCUUCUUCCCUUUCUUGACUUUUCCACAUACAAAUAUAAUACAUAUAUAUAUAUAUAUAUAUAUAUAUAU
rnacentral:lncRNA from 1 species